UGGGGAAUAUUGCACAAUGGGCGCAAGCCUGAUGCAGCAACGCCGCGUGAACGAUGAAGGUCUUCGGAUCGUAAAGUUCUGUUGCAGGGGAAGAUAAUGACGGUACCCUGUGAGGAAGCCCCGGCUAACUACGUGCCAGCAGCCGCGGUAAUACGUAGGGGGCUAGCGUUAUCCGGAUUUACUGGGCGUAAAGGGUGCGUAGGUGGUCUUUCAAGUCGGUGGUUAAAGGCUACGGCUCAACCGUAGUUAGCCUCCGAAACUGGAAGACUUGAGUGCAGGAGAGGAAAGUGGAAUUCCCAGUGUAGCGGUGAAAUGCGUAGAUAUUGGGAGGAACACCAGUAGCGAAGGCGGCUUUCUGGACUGCAACUGACACUGAGGCACGAAAGCGUGGGUAGCAACCAGG
rnacentral:rRNA from 1 species